rnacentral:rRNA from 1 species
AUGUGUCACUUGAUGAAGAAGAUUGACAUGGCCACGAUGCGCAUUGACUAUGGCCCUAAUAAAUUUCUUGUAGUCAGAAGAGAAACCAUGCAUCAGGCAUUCGGGUUCCCGAUGGGUGAUGACACAGCUCCCAGGCCAGCUGAUAGUGGCCAUGACAAGUCAAUGGCUAGAUUUAAGGCGGAGUUGGGUUUCAGCAAAGCUUCUGUGGUUGACACGAAAUACCCGAGGAAUGUGUUGAAGCAGCUUGUAGUCGAUGAGUCAAAGGAUGCCCUUGCUGUAAAGAAUGCAGAUAUAGUCUUUAAAGUACAAAAAUCUAGUAACGCCAUGGAAGAUGAUGGUGUAUUCGAGAAGAUUGAUGACUUAUUACGGAAGGUGAAUGAGUUGGCUGCUGAAGUUCCCACGAUGUCUGAUCGUCUGGGCUGCAUUGCUGGCAUUUUCCCUGAAGGUCAUGGACCAAGAGAAGAAUCAAUGAAGGAGGAGGCUACGGAGCGUUAUCUUGCUUUCAUUGGUAGUCUCCGGAGUGCGACAUCACACAUUCGCACCACUUUUAAUCAUUUGAAGAAGAAACAAGAUGCGAUAUGCAAAGGCUUUGAAAAUGAUGCUUGUAUUAUUGUGAGUCAGAUUAGCAAGCGGAAGAAUGACGCGUCUGCCCCUGUACGUGGUGAUGAUUAUACUGGGCAAUGGGGUGAGGAGAUUAACUGUCUUGUACGAGAUAGCUAA